rnacentral:lncRNA from 1 species
AAUUUUUCAAGGCAUUUUAGAUCUGAAAUUUAAGGGAUUAGGCUUGCUGAAAUUUAUGUAUGCAGAAUUUUCAGCUUGCUGAUUUUUCUGCAUACUAAUUUUUAGAUGCUUAGAUUAAUGAUUCUAAAGCUUUGAUAAUGUGAUUACAAAUAUUUAGAGUCAAAUCUAGCAUAAUCAGCAAGUCAUGAGAUGGAAUAAUCAAUUAAAUUACAGAUCUGAAAAUAAUUUUUUAUGCAU